GCAGCCUUCCACAUAUACUCUAUCAGAGCUUGUGCUCUACAAACACACCUGAUACUAAAUUAGUGACUUCUGAUAGUGCAGAUGGGGACAGCCACCAGUCCCUCUGGAGACAUUUCCCAUAACAUGAACCAGUGAACCCAUCUCUGAAAGCCCUCAUAUUUUAAAAAAUAAAAUUUUUGAAUUUCAAGGAAAACUAAACCUUUGAAAAAAACACGAUUCAAAAGAGAACCAUGCCACUUUCCAUUUCUGCUUGGGCUGCAGUGAGGACAGAUGUAGAAAGUGCUUCUGACGUCUGUGUCUGUUCCCCUGUGUGGACGCACAUAUUCAGGAGAGUUUAAACGAGGUAGGUGACUUCGGCAGCGUUGGCCGGGCUCUGGUUUGCUUCUGGUGCUAACAGAACAUAGAAGAGAGGACAGGGUAGCGUGUCCCGAAGAUCAGAGAUUUUCUUUUUGCAGGAAGUGCCUGGGCUCCUGGAGUGUUCUCAGGGCUUUGAUCCAGGCCACUGGCUCCACAAUCAACAUCACUGAUAUUUCAGCAGGUCACUGACCUAAUUCCAUUUUAGCGCUAUCUCAAAUGGAAACAUUAUUUUCUUACAACUAUUCAUACAGCAACAUAGCACAUAAAUAUCUAAAUAACACAUGCAGAAACAGUAGUCUCAAAUGCAAAGCUGUCACCUCCCCACACCACACACUUUCUCACCUGAGCCCCUGAGCCCACUCUUCCCUCCUCUCACCCUUGCCUAGGGCUCCCUUUUCCUGUGCCAUUACAAAUGUCUUCUAACAGGGACAGUGACACAAGACAGUCCCCCCACCUCCUCCAAGCACUCACACCACAGAACCCCCAGUCCAUCUCCUGAGGGGACGUUUACAUUUCUAUUCUGACAGAGAGAAGUCACUGUGAUUGGAGUCUUUACCCCAAACCCAGGAGUUUCUGAAGAACACAUGGGGUCAGCCACUCUCUUGUGUCGGGAGGCUUCACCUCAGGGAGGCGCCCGGCUCUGGGCUGAGGCGGACUCAAUGUGAACUAAAAGGCAGGACUAAGGAAAGUCCUGGGUCACACUGUGAGCGACGCACGCGCCCUCAGAAGGGGUCCCUGGUGCUAACCCUGACCCAAUUCUAACCCCGGGCACCUUUCCUCAGCUCCUCUGGCCCUGGGACACCUCCCUAACCUGCUUCCCAUGAGGCUGGUCACAGCUGUUGUGAGCACUGCCUUCUCCAUGUCACACUUUUUCUGUCAACAUUUUGAGGAGCCAGUGGUUUUCUCCUCAUCCCAUGUUCCUGUCCCACCCGCCUGCUGGGGGUGGAUUUAUUUCAUGUGUGAGGUUUCCUCAGCCCUGAGCCACAGCUGCCUCAUGGACACCAACCCUGUGGGACGCUCCUCUGGGAAAAGCAAACAGGAACCAAGAGGAGCAUCUGGAGCCCUGGUGUGGGAGACACACUCCAUCUUGGGGGAGGGAGCGUGGAGGGGAUGAGAAGGGACCAGGGGCCUAGGAUUGAGCUGGGAAGGGAACCAAAAGGCAGAAAGGGCAGAGCAGGGGCUGUCAGCUGUGACUCAGGGAAGGAUCCUGGGCCUCGGGCUCCUCCUUCUGAGGCCACCAGGGGACAGCGCAGGCCUGGACCUGGGAGGUCCCUGCUGGGCUUCACGUGGGGUGACUCCUAGGAGCUCCUUCUUCCUAAGUCCCCCUAAAGAGACAGAAGCAGUCUGGGGUCCUAAAUCUGUCGUGCCCCCAUAAAUGCAUUUCUAGAAGGGCCAAUAAAUGAACCCCAGGUUUAUCCAAACAGCAGCUUCAGGCCCCUGCAGACACAGAGGGCAGAGCAAGGUGUGAGGAACUAGCCGACCUGAGGAGCCCUAGAAGGGCUGAGGGGGACUGAGGGGUCCCUGGGAAGGGGAACGCUGGGGUGUCUCCAAGCCACUCUGGGCCCUGCCCUCACACUGGCCCCACAAAGAAGGGAAGGGAAAUCCUGGGACCCCACAGCCGUCCUGGACCACCAUGAACCGCAGCACAGGAAGGACAAGGACCCCAAGGCUGGCUCCAUUUCCCGGGGACUGUCAUGGGCUCAGUCUCAGGAAAUCCAAGUCAAGGAGUUUCAAUCCCCCCAGAUGAGCCCUGCUGUCCAGGGAAGCAGAAAUCUCUGAGCCCAGGCCCAGGUGAGGGUGGGGCGAGGACAGGAGCUCAGGACAUAGAUUUGCAUGGAGGCCCCGCCCUCCUCUGAGGCAGUGGGGGUAAGACAGGGCUGGGGCCAGGUCCAGGGCUGGGGUCUCGGCAGCGCUCUCUGGACGUCUCCACCAUGGCCUGGGCUCUGCUCCUCCUCACCCUCCUCACUCAGGGCACAGGGUCCUGGGCUCAGUCUGCCCCGAUUCAGUCUCCCUCUGUGUCUGGGUCUCUUGGACAGUCGGUCACCAUCUCCUGCACUGGAACCAGCAGUGACAUUGGGCGUUAUAACUAUGUCUCCUGGUACCAACAGCAGCCAGGCACGACCACCAAACUCAUGAUGUACAAUGUCAAUAUGUGGCCCUCAGGGGUCUCUGAUCGCUUCUCUGGCUCCAAGUCUGGCAACACGGCCUCCCUGACCAUCUCUGGACUCCAGGCUGAGGACGAGGCUGAUUAUUACUGUAGCUCAUAUGAGGCCAGCGACACUUUCCACAGUGGUCCAAGUUCACAGGGAACUGAGACCAAAACCUGCCCUGGGCUCUCAGACUUCCUCCUUUCUCUGAAGAUGCUUCUUCACCCUGUGCAAGGGGCUCCCUGCAACACGUCCUUGAGAAUUCUUCUCUCUCAGCUCCUCUCCUUUCCCACUACGAAAUCCAAAAGGAAACCUGCUCUGUGGUUUCUCAUCCAGGACAGGGACAGCUUCCUUUUGCUUUAGUAUUGUUGUCCCUGAAUGUGCAACUAUUCCUAGCUUUUUAAAUUCAGGGAGAGUGACAAUGAGUUUCCUGAUUGGUGCAGUCCCUGCUGUUCUGAGGAACAUCCUCAUCCUAAAUGUACUGGAAUCUCCCACUGUGUGCAGACCAAUCUGGACAGACACUAUUAGGGGUAGUUUCCAGAAAUCACAUCUUACUCGACAUUGUA